AAGCUUAAGCUUAGGUUUAUUUUUUGGGAGAACCAUCUUUAUUUUAAGGUAGUUUUAGUAUGUGUUAAAGAAAAAAUAUUUUCCUUAUAGUUAAUAGUAUCGUGAGAGAACGUUGAAAUAUUAUUUAUCAUUUAAUAAAAGAAGAUUUAAAUUAUCGUACCUUGUGUAUUAGGGCUAAGCAAACUAAUUUUAAUAUUUUAAGUGAUCCCGAAUUAAAGUGAGCUAAAGAAUUAUUAAGUUGAUUGUGGUAUCAAUCUCUUAAAUUGUUCUUUGGGGCGAAAUGUUAGUCGAACUUUUAUAUCUGGUUUUUUAGGAAACGAAUUUAAUUCGCUUUAUUUCAAAGGUUAAAAUAUUAUUAAAUUGUUUUAAUUUUUUAUUAAGGUAAAAUCAAAAGGGAUGAUCUUUUUGAUUGAUUUUGAGUUGUGAAUAAGGUUUGUAAUUUAUGCUUGGCGUUUUAAGGUUUAAUAUCAAUCUUAAAUUUGAAUGUGUGUUAUAAUUUACGUUUAUUUGUAUAAAAUUUUUCUGUCUUUUCUUGUUUUACUAAAAUACUGAAUGUAAUAAUGUUGUUCAGGUAAUAAUGCUUGGAUAAGUAAAUUAUGGUGUGUUUGUUAAUAUAUUUGAAUGUUUUAAAAUUAUAUUUGCUGUAAGAUACGCUAAAGGAAUUCGGCAAAAAAACUUUCCGCAUGUUUAUCAAAAACAUCGCUUUUUGACUAAUAAAAAGUACCGCCUGCUCAAUGCAUUUUGUAAAUUGCCGCGGUAUUUUGACCGUGCAAAGGUAGCAUAAUCAUUUGUCUCUUAAUUAGAGGCUGGUAUGAAUGGCGAGACGAGAAAGUUACUGUCUCUAGUGUAGUAAUUGAAUUUCAUUUUUAAGUGAAAAAGCUUAAAUUUUUUUGAAGGACGAUCAGACCCUAUAGAGCUUUAAUGUUAUCGUAAAUAUAAUUAACGGUAAGUUAUUUACUUACGUACACAUUUUUGUUGGGGCGACAAAGAGUUUUGAGUAACACUCUUUUAAGUAAACACAUAUUAGUGGAUAAUUGACCCCUUAGGAGGGGUUACAAGACUAAGUUACCUUAGGGAUAACAGCGUAAUUUUUUUGGAGAGUUCUUAUCGAUAAAAGAGUUUGCGACCUCGAUGUUGGAUUAAGAGAUUAGCAGGGUGCAGAAGCUUUGCAGGAAAGUCUGUUCGACUUUUAAAUUCUUACAUGAUCUGAGUUCAAACCGGCGUGAGCCAGGUUGGUUUCUAUCCUCAAAUUUAUUAAAAAUUUCUUUAGUACGAAAGGAUUUGGAAGUUGGGUUUUAACCUUAUUUUAUGAAUUAAAAUAAUUUAUAUAAAAUUUUUAA
rnacentral:rRNA from 1 species